rnacentral:rRNA from 1 species
UACAUGUGGGGCAAGCGUUGUUCGGAAUUACUGGGCAUAAAGGGUGCGUAGGCGGCUUGUUAAGUCAGGGGUGAAAGUUUUCGGCCCAACCGGAAAAUGGCCUUUGAUACUGGCGAGCUUGAGUGCGUGAGGGGUAACCGGAACGAGUCGUGUAGCGGUGAAAUGCGUAGAUAUGACUCGGAAGGCCAAAGGCGAAGGCAGGUUACUGGUACGCAACUGACGCUGAGGCACGAAAGCGUGGGGAGCAAACGGG